CGCCGCCGCGCGCGAGCUCCGGCACCCCGCUCGCCGGCCUCCUCGGAUUGUCGCCCGACGACAUGGACGCGGCCGUGAGCGCCGGAUGAGGCGCGCACAACCUGCAGGACCUCGCCACCGAAGCCCCACAUCCAGGCUGCCGUCCAAGAACACCUCUCGCCACCCAAAGGUUCUCUGGCAAGAGUGCAAACCAGCCCACGAGUUCACCGUGGCGGCGGUGUGCGAUGGCAGCGGGUGGCCUUGUAAUUCCACUCCGUAGGCUUUGGGUGCACAAGUGUAUGCUGAUCGGGACUAC